CUUGAUGGCACUUGUUCAACCCAAGUCGUGGGUCGCGAACACCAAGCAAGCACCAACGAGGUGAAUACGCAGAGAGUCCGGCCUACCGGUACAUGUCGUAUUCACACAGCUUGCUGAACUCGUCGUCCCAUUGAAUGAUUGCGAUCAAAAUCUCGGAAUGCAUCCUCGUCCAUCAACGCUCAGCAGAGCAGUCUGUCCAGAGCUCGAAUAUAAGUAGGUACGUGAUAAACGAGUACGUAUGAGAACGAACGAGUUGUAUGCAGAGUGUCAGUGAGAGAGUGAGAGAGUGAGAGACAGAGCGAGAGCCCCUCGUUAGUCGGCGUGAAGGUAUGCAUGCAUUGCAGGCCAUGAAAUGUGUGGGUGAAGAAUGGCAAUUGAUUGAGGGUGAUUGAAACCCAUCGCUGCUUGGAGAGAAAUCCUCACAACCUUUCUGGACUUGGGGAUGUGGAGAUCGCCUCGAGGAUUUGAGCCAAUCAAAAUCCAAAGACGUGGAAAAAAAGAGCAUGUCUUGGGACAGAUUGAUGACAACUGUGAGGAGCCAAUCGUAAACUGGCCCGGAGCUGUGAGCUGUGCUCCACAACUCGUUCUGGCGAACUGGUUGGAACAACAGACUGACAAGAUUUAUUCGAGUCUCUCUCGCAAGACAGCUUUGAUGGAGGAGCUGAGCAUGAAAUUUCCAGUUUCUUCGAUAUUGGCCAUGGGAAUGAAUGCCCGUUAAGUAGAAUGGUGGUGCCAAAGGGAAAUCGUCUCGAUUCUCACUCCUUUACCUUGAACAAUAUCUUCUGCCUCCUGCCACACAUGCAUGCUUUGUACCUACGUACGAAUUCGAUGCCUUUUCAUGUUCGAUGGCAGACCAAACCAUGCACUCGAAGUUCCCUACCAAACUACCAAACCAAAGAGACCCUGACUCUGCAAUGUGCUCUGCUCUGGACGCACAACAACUUAUUUCAAAUAGCCAUGUUGUCAUUUUUUUCCACCUCCAAAGAAGUGUUUGCCAUUACCAUUGCACAUCAUCAUCUACAACAACAACAACUUCAUCUUUGUCAUUGUCGUCAUCAUGCCGGCAAAUAACAUGCGUUAUAUGUAUAGUAGUUGAUUCUCCUAAAUAAGACUUGCUCACGUUACUUGCUUCUACUUUGUCAUGGCAUUGGUCCUAAAGUCCAACCGGAAAUAGUGAAAUUUCCUCCAUUUCAAUGGCCUGU